CGCUCCUUGAGCAGGCGGGAGAAGAUGUCGUAGGCGCGCUCCCCGCGGGAGGUGGUCUCGACGACCAUGGGCACGAGGCCGUACUCGCGGACGGAGGAGUAGCCCUCCGGCUCCGGCGGCUGGUAGGGAGCCGAGGAGAAGAAGGCCCGCGGCGGGGCGGCGACGGCGAGCCGGCGCGGCGCGGGCCCGAACGGGCCCGGGCUGGCCGAGUUGGGCCUGGACCUGGGCCUCGGCGCGAAGGCGGGCAGCGGGGAGGCGCCGGCUAGGUUGGCGACGGCGGAGGGCGUCAUGGCUGCUGCUGCCGGUGGUCCUGGGGGCGUCCGGGGUGCGGAUUUGUGGUCGGAUGUGAGGCGGAAAUAGCAAGGGAGGACUUAUACCAAGGAAGGGGAGGAGAGUGUGAAACGGAGGAAACGGAUAGGGCGAGGCGAGACGUCGAGACGGUGGUUGCGCUUCGAUCCGCCGGAUCGGAUCUUUUCUUUUCUUCUCUUCUCCUCUCUUCUCCUCUCCGGGGUGGGGUGGAGUGGGGGAUCGGUGUUCCUCUCCCUGCCUUGCCUUGUUGCUUCUCCGUCUGGGCUUUCGCUUCUUUUCCAAGAAAGAAUUUAUUUUCUUUUCUGAGACAAAGAACGUCUGGGCUUUCGCUUGUUUUCCAUGAAAGAAUUUAUAAUUUUUUUCGAGACAAAGAAAGAAUUCGAUUUAGCCCACAGUAGUGGG
rnacentral:lncRNA from 1 species